rnacentral:rRNA from 1 species
AUUGAACGCUGGCGGCAGGCCUAACACAUGCAAGUCGAACGAGUGGCGGACGGGUGAGUAAUGUCUGGGAAACUGCCUGAUGGAGGGGGAUAACUACUGGAAACGGUAGCUAAUACCGCAUACCAUCGGAUGUGCCCAGAUGGGAUUAGCUAGUAGGUGGGGUAAAGGCUCACCUAGGCGACGAUCCCUAUCUGGUCUGAGAGGAUGACCAGCCACACUGGAACUGAGACACGGUCGAGACUCCUACGGCAGGCAGCAGUGGGGAAUAUUGCAAAAUGGGCGCAAGACUGAUGGAGCCAUGACGCGUGUAUAAAGAAGGCCUUCGGGUUGUAAAGUACUUACAGCGGGGAGGCGUUAACCGCAGAAGAAGCACCGGCUAACUCCGUGCCAGCCGCCGCGGUAAUAC